AUCAUUUUUAGUUUGAUGGUUAAAUUCAAAAUAUAUGUUAGUUUAAUGCAAGUGAUGUCGGCAAAAAUGGUGAUACAAGUAACUUUGAAUUGUUAUGUU